rnacentral:rRNA from 1 species
GGGUUGUGAGGUUAAGCGACUAAGCGUACACGGUGGAUGCCCUGGCAGUCAGAGGCGAUGAAGGACGUGCUAAUCUGCGAUAAGCGCCGGUAAGGUGAUAUGAACCGUUAUAACCGGCGAUUUCCGAAUGGGGAAACCCAGUGUGAUUCGUCACACUAUCAUUAACUGAAUCCAUAGGUUAAUGAGGCGAACCGGGGGAACUGAAACAUCUAAGUACCCCGAGGAAAAGAAAUCAACCGAGAUUCCCCCAGUAGCGGCGAGCGAACGGGGAGGAGCCCAGAGCCUGAAUCAGCAUGUGUGUUAGUGGAAGCGUCUGGAAAGGCGCGCGAUACAGGGUGACAGCCCCGUACACAAAAGCGCAUGUGCUGUGAGCUCGAUGAGUAGGGCGGGACACGUGGUAUCCUGUCUGAAUAUGGGGGGACCAUCCUCCAAGGCUAAAUACUCCUGACUGACCGAUAGUGAACCAGUACCGUGAGGGAAAGGCGAAAAGAACCCCGGCGAGGGGAGUGAAAAAGAACCUGAAACCGUGUACGUACAAGCAGUGGGAGCACAGGUUUACCUGUGUGACUGCGUACCUUUUGUAUAAUGGGUCAGCGACUUAUAUUCUGUAGCAAGGUUAACCGUAUAGGGGAGCCGUAGGGAAACCGAGUCUUAACCGGGCGUUAAGUUGCAGGGUAUAGACCCGAAACCCGGUGAUCUAGCCAUGGGCAGGUUGAAGGUUGGGUAACACUAACUGGAGGACCGAACCGACUAAUGUUGAAAAAUUAGCGGAUGACCUGUGGCUGGGGGUGAAAGGCCAAUCAAACCGGGAGAUAGCUGGUUCUCCCCGAAAGCUAUUUAGGUAGCGCCUCGUGAAUUCAUCUCCGGGGGUAGAGCACUGUUUCGGCUAGGGGGCCAUCCCGGCUUACCAACCCGAUGCAAACUGCGAAUACCGGAGAAUGUUAUCACGGGAGACACACGGCGGGUGCUAACGUCCGUCGUGAAGAGGGAAACAACCCAGACCGCCAGCUAAGGUCCCAAAGUCAUGGUUAAGUGGGAAACGAUGUGGGAAGGCCCAGACAGCCAGGAUGUUGGCUUAGAAGCAGCCAUCAUUUAAAGAAAGCGUAAUAGCUCACUGGUCGAGUCGGCCUGCGCGGAAGAUGUAACGGGGCUAAACCAUGCACCGAAGCUGCGGCAGCGACGCUGAUGCGUUGUUGGGUAGGGGAGCGUUCUGUAAGCCUGCGAAGGUGACCUGUGAGGGUUGCUGGAGGUAUCAGAAGUGCGAAUGCUGACAUAAGUAACGAUAAAGCGGGUGAAAAGCCCGCUCGCCGGAAGACCAAGGGUUCCUGUCCAACGUUAAUCGGGGCAGGGUGAGUCGACCCCUAAGGCGAGGCCGAAAGGCGUAGUCGAUGGGAAACGGGUUAAUAUUCCCGUACUUGGUGUUACUGCGAAGGGGGGACGGAGAAGGCUAUGUUGGCCGGGCGACGGUUGUCCCGGUUUAAGCGUGUAGGUGUGUGUUCCAGGUAAAUCCGGUUCACUUUAACACUGAGGCGUGACGACGAGGCACUACGGUGCUGAAGCAACAAAUGCCCUGCUUCCAGGAAAAGCCUCUAAGCAUCAGGUAACACGAAAUCGUACCCCAAACCGACACAGGUGGUCAGGUAGAGAAUACCAAGGCGCUUGAGAGAACUCGGGUGAAGGAACUAGGCAAAAUGGUGCCGUAACUUCGGGAGAAGGCACGCUGACACGUAGGUGAAGUGAUUUACUCAUGGAGCUGAAGUCAGUCGAAGAUACCAGCUGGCUGCAACUGUUUAUUAAAAACACAGCACUGUGCAAACACGAAAGUGGACGUAUACGGUGUGACGCCUGCCCGGUGCCGGAAGGUUAAUUGAUGGGGUCAGCGUAAGCGAAGCUCCUGAUCGAAGCCCCGGUAAACGGCGGCCGUAACUAUAACGGUCCUAAGGUAGCGAAAUUCCUUGUCGGGUAAGUUCCGACCUGCACGAAUGGCGUAAUGAUGGCCAGGCUGUCUCCACCCGAGACUCAGUGAAAUUGAACUCGCUGUGAAGAUGCAGUGUACCCGCGGCAAGACGGAAAGACCCCGUGAACCUUUACUAUAGCUUGACACUGAACAUUGAGCCUUGAUGUGUAGGAUAGGUGGGAGGCUUUGAAGUGUGGACGCCAGUCUGCAUGGAGCCGACCUUGAAAUACCACCCUUUAAUGUUUGAUGUUCUAACGUGGACCCGUAAUCCGGGUUGCGGACAGUGUCUGGUGGGUAGUUUGACUGGGGCGGUCUCCUCCUAAAGAGUAACGGAGGAGCACGAAGGUUGGCUAAUCCUGGUCGGACAUCAGGAGGUUAGUGCAAUGGCAUAAGCCAGCUUGACUGCGAGCGUGACGGCGCGAGCAGGUGCGAAAGCAGGUCAUAGUGAUCCGGUGGUUCUGAAUGGAAGGGCCAUCGCUCAACGGAUAAAAGGUACUCCGGGGAUAACAGGCUGAUACCGCCCAAGAGUUCAUAUCGACGGCGGUGUUUGGCACCUCGAUGUCGGCUCAUCACAUCCUGGGGCUGAAGUAGGUCCCAAGGGUAUGGCUGUUCGCCAUUUAAAGUGGUACGCGAGCUGGGUUUAGAACGUCGUGAGACAGUUCGGUCCCUAUCUGCCGUGGGCGCUGGAGAACUGAGGGGGGCUGCUCCUAGUACGAGAGGACCGGAGUGGACGCAUCACUGGUGUUCGGGUUGUCAUGCCAAUGGCACUGCCCGGUAGCUAAAUGCGGAAGAGAUAAGUGCUGAAAGCAUCUAAGCACGAAACUUGCCCCGAGAUGAGUUCUCCCUGAGACUUAGAGUCUCCUGAAGGAACGUUGAAGACGACGACGUUGAUAGGCCGGGUGUGUAAGCGCAGCGAUGCGUUGAGCUAACCGGUACUAAUGAACCGUGAGGCUUAACCUUACAACGCCGAAG